GAGUUUGAUCAUGGCUCAGGACGAACGCUGGCGGCGUGCUUAACACAUGCAAGUCGAACGGUGACGACGGAGCUUGCUCUGUCUGAUCAGUGGCGAACGGGUGAGUAACACGUGAGUAACCUGCCCCCGACUCUGGAAUAACCGUGGGAAACGACGGCUAAUACCGGAUAUGAGACGCACAGGCAUCUGUGUGUCUGGAAAGAUUUAUCGGUCAGGGAUGGACUCGCGGCCUAUCAGCUUGUUGGUGGGGUAAUGGCCCACCAAGGCGACGACGGGUAGCCGGCCUGAGAGGGCGACCGGCCACACUGGGACUGAGAUACGGCCCAGACUCCUACGGGAGGCAGCAGUGGGGAAUAUUGCACAAUGGGCGCAAGCCUGAUGCAGCGACGCCGCGUGAGGGAUGAAGGCCUUCGGUUGUAACCUCUUCUAGCAGGAAGAAGACGAAAGUGACGGUACCUAGCGAGAAGAAGCGCCGGC
rnacentral:rRNA from 1 species